rnacentral:tRNA from 1 species
GCGUCCAUGAUGUAGCGGCCGCCUGCUACCUUGCCAUGGUAGACGUGCGGGUUCGACUCCCGCUGGACGCU